rnacentral:lncRNA from 1 species
UAAGUUUUUAUGUUUAUUUUUGCUUACAAAUCAUAUUAUCUCCAUUAUAUAAUAAUUUGAUUGUGUUGGGAAUUUUGAUAGAUUUGUUUAUAUUCGGGUUUAGAAUUUUUGAAAUGAUUAACUAUUACGCAGCCUAACUCUUUACUUAGCGAAAUCUAAUGGAUUUGUUGGAAUUUGUUUGCUAAAUAUAUUUUCUAUUGUUUCUGAUUAAAUCUACGCGUUAUUACCUAUAUAAUAAGACAUCUAUAUAAAGUUCUCGAAAAUAAAUGUGGUUCGAUACCUAUCGUGACGCUUCAGUGUUAGAAAUUAGAAUAUUCAAAAAAAAAAAUUUCUUCAUACUUUUCAAUACACUUUAAAUUUACUAAAACUUUUAAAGUAGAUGUGUUCUACUCUCUACAAAAUAACUUAUAGAAUAAAUUUUAAAAGAUUAUAAUAUAUCUACCCGCCACAUCGCGCGGGUCACUACACUAGUUAACUUGAUUUCAUUAAGUCUUUCUUAAUUAAAUUUUUUGUCAUAUAUCCUAUAAAAC